rnacentral:rRNA from 1 species
GAGUUUGAUCAUGGCUCAGAUUGAACGCUGGCGGCAGGCCUAACACAUGCAAGUCGAGCGGUAGAGAGAAGCUUGCUUCUCUUGAGAGCGGCGGACGGGUGAGUAAUGCCUAGGAAUCUGCCUGGUAGUGGGGGAUAACGCUCGGAAACGGACGCUAAUACCGCAUACGUCCUACGGGAGAAAGCAGGGGACCUUCGGGCCUUGCGCUAUCAGAUGAGCCUAGGUCGGAUUAGCUAGUUGGUGAGGUAAUGGCUCACCAAAGGCGACGAUCCGUAACUGGUCUGAGAGGAUGAUCAGUCACACUGGAACUGAGACACGGUCCAGACUCCUACGGGAGGCAGCAGUGGGGAAUAUUGGACAAUGGGCGAAAGACCUGAUCCAGCCAUGCCGCGUGUGUGAAGAAGGUCUUCGGAUUGUAAAG